rnacentral:lncRNA from 1 species
CUGCAGAGUGCGCGGCUGAGCCCCCCAGGGCCAGGGCCGGACAGUCAGAUUUCCCUGAAGCUGUGAGAAGAUGGCCAUCUUCCCUACAGAGAAUUUGUUCUCAGGAUGCUGCGCCUUCUCCUCGGCGUGCCUUCCCGGGAGGUACAGUCGUCCUGGAGAGCCGACGUGCACACCCACCUGCCAUCACCAUUUUACUCCCGCUGUGUCCGCGCUCGUCUCCCCAGCCCUGGAUCACCUUCCAUCUCCACAAGGCUCACCUCCCAUUUACCGGUUUUAUUUUCCUCUUUAUUUAUAUUUUAGGUUUUUCAUAUUAAAGAAACCAUGUGAUAUCUUUGGUGUCUGAUUAAUUUCACUUAGCAUUAUGGUCUCAAGAUCCAACCAUUUU